rnacentral:lncRNA from 1 species
CAGCUGCUCUUGAUGAAAACGGCAGUGGCUCUGAAAAGAGCCUUUAGAUCGACCACUUAAAAAUAUACCUUAGGCCCGCUCCCCGCGGAUGCGGCUGACCAACUGGAUGUCCUUGGGCAUGAUGGUCACGCGCUUGGCAUGGAUGGCGCACAGAUAAGAAAACUGAGUCUCAGAGAAAUUAUGGCUUGUCCUGGCUUUUCCCAGGCAAGUAAAUGCAGGCCACAGUCUGCCAGCUGCCCAACCAUUCAGGCUUUUCAUUAUUAUAGGAAGCAUCUGGCCAAGGACCACCAACAUCUUCCUGUCCUGCCCCUGAAGCUGUGCCUAGAGGAGGUCUCUCAUAGAUGCCCACGUUCUCUUGACAAGAUAUUUGGGGAGGACCCCUGGCUACUGUCACUGCUGCCAUGCCUGCCAGGAGGAGGCACCUUCCUGACACUUCACUGCUGCUGCUCAGCAGGCCUGCCAAGUGGUUCUGCUGUGUUCUAGGAGAAACAGGA